rnacentral:lncRNA from 1 species
ACGUAAUUUGUAUUUAAAACGUAGUAAAAACAUGAUAACAAACUUAAAUGGUUCAUUUUGAAAAAUAAUAUUUAGACAGUUCUUUUUAAAACUUAAAACGCUCAAGCUGCCUUUGUGAUUCUUAAUUAGCUCAAAAUUUGUUGCAGAAUCAAUUAAUUUCAAUUUGAGUGAGUGAUGGAAAGUUUAAAUUGAGCCUCUUUUUUUUCAUUUAUCCAGCCCUCUGUCACGAACUUAAGCAAAUUUGCUUGCACUACUAGAAAAUUAGUCAUUAGUAGCAUUUAUUUAUAUUGCACUACUAGAAAAUUAGUCAUUAGUAGCAUUUAUCCAGCCCUCUGUCAUUUUUUUAUAAAAUGCUGGAAACUUCAGCUGCAUUCACUAAUUUAUGUUGCUACUUUAUUCUAUUUUGCAACAAUAAAAGUAAAUUGCUGCUAAAUUAUUAAAUCUAGCGGCACUUAUCAAGUAAUGCUGUUAAAUAUAUUUAUUAGCGUUAUUUAAAUAAAUGUUGCAGAGUAAAUGCCGCUAAAUCCUGAAUUUGUAGUAGUGUUGUCAAGCCCGUGCGGCACUCACCUUCUUUUGUAAAAGGAGCAAGCCUAUCUCUAAUAUGGACCUACUAGUACUACAACUAAGUACAAGGGAGAGAGAGUUUGGAGGGAUGUAAUAUCUAUCUAUAUCUAUACAAUACAUUAUUUGACACUCCUAAGAAUGCCACGUGGCGCCCUCUUAUUACGUAUUCUAUUACUUGAGAGUAGUUGAGUACAUUUGACUUAUUCUGAGAAGGUGGAGGCCAC